UACGUAGGGUGCGAGCGUAAUCGGAAUUACUGGGCGUAAAGCGUGCGCAGGCGGCGCGUUAAGACAGGUGUGAAAGCCCCGAGCUUAACUUGGGAAUUGCGCUUGUGACUGGCGUGCUGGAGUGUGGCAGAGGGAGGUGGAAUUCCACGUGUAGCAGUGAAAUGCGUAGAGAUGUGGAGGAACACCGAUGGCGAAGGCAGCCUCCUGGGUCAAGAUUGACGCUCAUGCACGAAAGCGUGGGGAGCAAACAGG
rnacentral:rRNA from 1 species